UACGGAGGGGGCUAGCGUUGUUCGGAAUUAUUGGGCGUAAAGCGCGUGUAGGCGGCUUUGCAAGUCGGGUGUGAAAGCCCUCAGCUCAACUGAGGAAGUGCGCCCGAAACUGCAGAGCUUGAGUGCCGGAGAGGGUGGCGGAAUUCCCCAAGUAGAGGUGAAAUUCGUAGAUAUCGGGAGGAACACCGGUGGCGAAGGCGGCGACCUGGGUAGAUACUGACGCUGAGGUGCGAAAGCGUGGGGAGCAAACAGG
rnacentral:rRNA from 1 species